AGCGAACGCUGGCGGCAGGCCUAACACAUGCAAGUCGAACGAAGUCUUCGGACUUAGUGGCGGACGGGUGAGUAACACGUGGGAACGUGCCUUUAGGUUCGGAAUAACUCAGGGAAACUUGUGCUAAUACCGAAUGUGCCCUUCGGGGGAAAGAUUUAUUGCCUUUAGAGCGGCCCGCGUCUGAUUAGCUAGUUGGUGAGGUAAAGGCACACCAAGGCGACGAUCAGUAGCUGGUCUGAGAGGAUGAUCAGCCACAUUGGGACUGAGACACGGCCCAAACUCCUACGGGAGGCAGCAGUGGGGAAUCUUGCGCAAUGGGCGAAAGCCUGACGCAGCCAUGCCGCGUGAAUGAUGAAGGUCUUAGGAUUGUAAAAUUCUUUCACCGGGGACGAUAAUGACGGUACCCGGAGAAGAAGCCCCGGCUAACUUCGUGCCAGCAGCCGCCGCCGUAA
rnacentral:rRNA from 1 species